GGUCAACUUCCACUGCUUUUUCCAGCCAUUAGCAGGGAGUUGGAUCAGUAAUGGACCAGCCAGGAUAUUAACUGGUGUCCAUAUGGGUUGCUGGCAUAACAGGUAGCAGUUUUAUCCACUAAGCCACAACACUAACCCCUUCAACUUUGUUUUAGAAGUAGGGUUAUCAGGCUUAGCAAAUAAAAACAAAGGAUACCUAACAAAAUGAGAAUUUCACACCAGUAAUGACUACUUUUUUAGAAAAUAUGAAUAUCUGUCAAAUAUUACAUGGGACAUACUCAUAAAAAUUUUUGUUUUAUGAAUUUCAAAUAUAACUGGACAUUUUGUGUUUUUUUUUCUAGCAAGCCUAAUUAGAAGGAAACAUUCCUGGAAGCAAAGAAGGAAGAAAACAAAAACAGGAGCAGAAGCAGGAAGAAGAAUCAGAAGCAGAGCAGCCAGAACUCAAAUAAGCACUCAGAUAUGGGGUGCGAGGGUACUAACCUGCUGCAACGCAAAGCAAGCUUCUCUCUCCAGCUCUAAGCUAAGGCAUAGAAGGUCACUGUGUUGAUCCUCGGAUCUGGCUGAAAAGCCCAUGAGAGUAUUUCAGGCAUGGAAAGCCAAGACACUCUGGCAAAAAGAUCUCUGUGAGUGAGAUCCCAGUGGAAAGAACAGGUCUUCAAAGAGGGAGGUGCCUUUCUCUGAAGGGAGGAGAGAACCUCCACUUUGACUAUGACCGUGUCUAAACAAGAUAAGAGUCGGAGAACUCAAGGGGCUUCCAUAGCCUUGGAAACUCAUGACUGGUGCAUAGGGAGAUUACUGAUGCCAUAAACAGGAGUGUCAAUUUGUAAAGUCAACAACAGGAGUCACUGUGCACUUACUCCUCAUGUAGGAUCUCUGUCCUUAAUGUGCUGUACACUGAGGCUUAAUGCUAUAACGAGUACUCAAACAAUAUAUUUCACUUUGUGUUUCUAUGGGGGUGCAAACGAUUGAAAUCUUUACUUAAUGUACACUAAACUGAUCUUCUG
rnacentral:lncRNA from 1 species